GGUAUCGCCGUUAGUCAUGUGCAAAUAUGGAUAGCUGUUUUAGCCGUCUUUAUUGACUGGUUUAUAAGAGUUAUCAGAUAUCACUUUGAUUAAAUUAGAGUGCUUAAAGCAAGUGUGUUACUUGGAUAUAAAUGCAUGGAAUGAUGGAAUAUGUUGUUAUUCUAUUUGUUGGUUUUUGAAUGAUAAAAUGAUUGAAAGGAACUGUUGGGGGCAUUCGUAUUGUUGUGAGAGAGGUGAAAUUCUUAGACCACAGCAAGACGAACUACUGCGAAAGCAUUUGCCAAGAAUGUUUUCAUUGAUCAAGAACGAAAGUUAGAGGUUCGAAGGCGAUCAGAUACCGCCCUAGUUCUAACCAUAAACUAUGCCAACUAGCAAUUUGCUUUGUAUUUUUUAUGACUAAGUGAGAGGCCACGGGAGACCUAAGUAGGGUUAUGGGGGAAGUAUGGUUGCAAAGCUGAAACUUAAAGGAAUUGACGGAAGGGCACCACCAGGAGUGGAGCCUGCGGCUUAAUUUGACUCAACACGGGAAAACUUACCUGGUCCUGACACUAGAAGGAUUGACAGAUUGAUAGCUCUUUCUUGAUUUGGUGGAUGGUGGUGCAUGGCCGUUCUUAGUUGGUGGAGUGAUUUAUCUGGUUAAUUCCGAUAACGAACGAGACUCUAGCCUAUUAAAUAAUACACGGAAUUUUAUCUUCCGCGGUAUUUCUUAGUGGGAUCGAGCG
rnacentral:rRNA from 1 species